UACUGCCGUGUGGUUGGGGACUUACCACAGGCAGCUCGGGACCAAGCAACGCAUAUGCUACGUCAGACAUCUUACCUUACCUUACUUGGGAAAAAGAAAUGCAAAUUAUUACCUUUUAAAGCUGUGUCCCGCUCGCCUGCUUCCUUUUCUGCUUUACAGCAGUUCUUCUGUAGGAGGAGUAUCACUCCUACAUUAAGGGAAAUGACGUCUUGAAGUUACAAUAAUGAUCUGUCAGUUGUCAUUCUUGCCACCAGGUGCCGUUUACCACGGCCGGGCGUCUGCUGUGUUUUUGGUGUGCUAGUGCAUUCUGCUACAUUUUGCUCUUGAGGAAAUAAUCUAGUUCUUUAAAUGUUUAUAUUGUUUUAUUCUCUUAGUUAAAACAAAUCGCCUUUUUGUUUGGUUCUAAAGACAAAGUUCAAUAUCGUAUACGUGUUAUCAAACAAACUCUUGCCCUAGUAAAGAAAUGUAAUAUAAGGUGAUGAAGGUUAAAGAGAGAUUUAAAGAAGUACGGACCAAAAAGCCACUUAAGUACUACGCUAUCAUCCUACCACACUACUAUGUAUGCUGCUCUGACCUACUUUAUUGAAGCCCUGAAGUACUUACUCAGCUCCAAGUUACCACACGGAUGCAACAGUUUAUUGCACCACAACUUACACUACUUCAAGCUACCACAAGGAGGUCCCCCAAAUAUUACACAACAAAGGCACCAGAGUACUACACAACAAAUAACGCUACACCAAGCUACUAAAUUGAAGCUCUGAAGUACUACAUAUUACACUGCCCCAAGCUAUAUCAUCGCUACAGUUUCCUACUACACCACAACAGAAGCAACCAAGUGAUCUGGAGGAUCCUUGCAUAUCAUUAAUGGUCUUCCCUUCGUGUUCUCACAGCAAGGAAGCCACACCCCAAUUCGAGACCUUCACCUCGAUGGCUGUCUUCAACUACCUUUACGGGGAAGUUUAUCAGGAAAUCCUUAAAUGUUUCUGCCGGCUCUGGAAGUGCGCAUCUGUGGAGAAAGCAGGGCAAGAUUUGAAACAUUCUCUUGCUAAACAAUUUUUUUCACGCUACUACACAACAAGUUAAGAGUCUGUUGAAGAGUUGUUGUUCAAGAGUCUGUAAGCAAAUACAACUCGAAACGUCAAGGGUUGGUAUGGGAUUGGCCCACCAUUCCUAUGCUGACCCUUACCGUGUAAUCGGGCAUGGGUAACGUAUUUGUUAGAUGUCAUGUGUAGUUGAAAAUGAUUUGAUGGACUAUUUUCUUAACCCAUCUGCAUGGCAAACGUUUGGUGAAAUAAAGAUCCUUAUUAUUGUU